UACGGGGGGAGCAAGCGUUGUUCGGAUUUACUGGGCGUAAAGGGCGCGUAGGCGGCCAGCACAAGUCAGUUGUGAAAUCUCCGGGCUUAACUCGGAAAGGUCAACUGAUACUGUGCGGCUAGAGUGCAGAAGGGGGCAACUGGAAUUCUCGGUGUAGCGGUGAAAUGCGUAGAUAUCGAGAGGAACACCUGCGGCGAAGGCGGGUUGCUGGGCUGACACUGACGCUGAUGCGCGAAAGCCAGGGGAGGCGAACAGG
rnacentral:rRNA from 1 species